GUUUACACCUAUCAACAUAUUAAGCUACCCAAUGAAAUAUAUGCGACGAACACAAGUUAUUGUCCCUUUAAUAAAACAGUGCUAUCUUCUCUUAACUUAAUGUGUUUUAGAAUUUUAGUAAUAUUUGAAAGCGGAUAAAUGUUGAAGAGGCUUCUUAAAGGGCAGAGGAGGCUGACGCACCAGAUCUCGAGAGUGAGUCUGAUGACAGCAGUGAUGAAGGCAACGCUUCAGGAGACACUGAGAUGGAUUUCUUACACAGUCUCUUCUCACGAACACGAACACAGGCCUGAGUCCUGGAGAGAAAGUCUUUUCUUGAUGGGGUCGCCCGCUACAUCCUGAGUGGCAAAUGUGAGUUAACUUCUCCGAUGAGACUUUAAAAGUGAAGUGUGUCUUUUUUCAAUGUUAAAAUACUUUACUACAUUCAAUUCAGUAUGUACAGUCUUCUGCAAAAAAGCCAUUUUUACCUUGGCUUCCUGUCUAAACACUGUGGUGAACAUAUUGCACCUUUGUCUGAGCAGGUUAUUUUUGACUCAGCUAGUGAGAUACUGUUCAGUAAAUUACAUGUGUUUGUCUGUUUUAACGGGCAAGAACAUUAUCUGUAUGGUUGGAGCUGGAAUAUCUACAUGUAAGUAAAUUGCUUAUCAUAAAAAGCAGUUUUCUAAAAUUAAGCACAUAAAUAGAUCAUAUCUUUUCUUACAGGCAAAGCCUCUUUAAGUAUAAAGUCUCACCUCAGUCGUGUUAUUGAGACUGGAAGAGAGCGCUGUACAUUCACUGCUCCCUGCUGGUAGACUCGAACCUGCAACCUCUGGGUUACGCUCUUACCAUUAGGCCACAGCUGCCCAAUAUAUAGCAUCCUGACUACUGUUAUUAUUGUUAUAUAGCAUUAGUUUUUAAUUAUUGUCUUCUAUGUUAAAGUAUUAAUUAACCUAAUAAUUAAUUAUUAUUUUUCACAUUAAGCUGCCGGAAUCCCAGACUUCCGCUCUCCUGGCACUGGUCUGUAUGCCAGUUUGCAGAAGUACAACCUGCCAUCUUUCAGAUCGACUAUUUCAAGAAACAUCCGGAGCCCUUUUGUGCUCUGGCCAGAGAGCUCUACCCAGGACAGUUUACGCCCACAGUAUGUCACUAUUUCACGAAGAUGCUGAAGGACAAAGGUCUACUGACUCGCUGUUACUCU